rnacentral:rRNA from 1 species
AACGAACGCUGGCGGCAUGCCUAACACAUGCAAGUCGAACGAGACCUUCGGGUCUAGUGGCGCACGGGUGCGUAACGCGUGGGAACCUGCCCUUAGGUUCGGAAUAACGUCCCGAAAGGGGUGCUAAUACCGGAUAAUGUCUUCGGACCAAAGAUUUAUCGCCUUUGGAUGGGCCCGAGUUGGAUUAGCUAGUUGGUAGGGUAAAAGCCUACCAAGGCGACGAUCCAUAGCUGGUCUGAGAGGAUGAUCAGCCACACUGGGACUGAGACACGGCCCAGACUCCUACGGGAAGCAGCAGUGGGGAAUAUUGGACAAUGGGCGAAAGCCUGAUGCAGCAAUGCCGCGUGAGUGCUGAAGGCCUUAGGGUUGUAAAGCUCUUUUACCCGGGAUGAUAAUGACAGUACCGGGAGAAUAAGCUCCGGCUAACUCCGUG